GACGGAGGGUGCAAGCGUUGUUCGGAUUGACUGGGCGUAAAGGGCGUGUAGGCGGUUGGUCAAGUCCGAUGUGAAAGCCCGGGGCUCAGCUUCGGAAGUGCAUCGGAAACUAGCCAGCUGGAGCACGAUAGAGGAGGGCGGAAUUCCUGGUGUAGCGGUGAAAUGCGUAGAUAUCAGGAGGAACACCGGCGGCGAAGGCGGCCCUCUGGAUCGUUGCUGACGCUGAGACGCGAAAGCGUGGGGAGCAAACAGG
rnacentral:rRNA from 1 species